GGCGCCAACUAAUUUGAGGUGGGGAAGGGAGUACAAAACGUUAAAAUGCUCUCUGGCUGAGCUAUCUUUUAAAUUUUAUGAUAAAGAAAAUACUCGUUAUUCUGUAGACUGCGUUUAUUGCAAAUUCUCUUUCAAGAUAUCUGAUACUUCUCUAUUCAAGUGCAAUUUGAAUGGCAAAGGCUCUAUAGUAGUGUGAAUGUAGCAGUGUAAAGGGUGCUGAGUAGCAGUUUCCAGAAGAUAAAUAAACCAUUAUUAAGUCAAGCAUCCUCAUUUUGUUUUUCUUAAUUCAUUGAAUUUAAGCUUUUUUUAACUUCACACACACAUUUUGUAGCCCAUACUCUGAAAAAUAAAUUUUUGUUAAAAAUAACAGUGAUUUGUCUUGCCUUACUGCUUUUAAAACUGAAAAAAAAAAAAAAAACAUCAAGGGAAGCUUUGGACAACUCGUUACUCAUUACUCUUCAUCUUUUUCACUACACCUGUUUGAUGGGGUCUCAUUUUGUACUCCGUGACAGUGGAUAUGUCGUUAUUGUUCAUGAAAUUUAUGCUAUUUUUAACUUCACACAGAGAAGGCUGUAUUUCUGUAUCCAGUACUCUAAAAUAAAUGUUUUUCUUGUCUUAUUACUUUUUAAACUACAGUAGUAAUGUUAAUGUUGUAGCUAAGACAAGUACAGUAGAUGUUCAAAAUGCAUUUGAGGAAAGCCAGCCUAUAGUAUUAUAAAAAUUUAGAACCAGGUGAGUUUUACUGAAACCACUGCAUAUAUGAAUGAAAAACAUAAAAAUCAUGUUUGUAUAAAAAAUUAUGUAGCUUUAACAUGUAUGGAUUGUGUUCAUUUAACAAACCUAAAUUAUGUAGCUUGAACAUAUAUAAAUAUGUUCAUUUAGCAUAUAUAAAUCAUGUUGAGUAAACAUAACUUUAAUAUGUGCAACCGAUGUACAUAUUUUGUUUGUUAAUCCAACAAGUUUUUUUUUUCAGUGUAUUUACAGAUGGUGAACCCCACAUCCUACAGUCAUCUCAACGCAGAUGCGUCAGUUCUGCUGCUGCGCUGUGCUUCACAAUCUUGCUCUUCUCAACGGGGACUUCGUUGACCCAGAGGAUGAGGAAGACCAUGAUGACACCCCUGAACCACACAACCUUGAGACAAGAGCAGGAGAACAUGUGCAGGACAAUCUGGCUGCUGCUGUGCCUGCUCCAAACAUUCAUGUGCUUGUUCUCCAUGAGCACGACUACCUGUAAAACAUUUAAACAGACUUAAACAUUUACCAUUCAUGUUGUCAGCUUUCCAUUUCUUGACAAAUUUCAUUUCAUGUUUAUAAUUACAUGCAUUUUUUGUUGUAGCUUUAUUAAUUUUGUAGUUGGCUAAACCACUGAACUAGUGAGCAGAAGGUUGCUGGUUCGUCACCACUGGUGUGUCCUUCAGCAAGGCUCUUUUCUCCAGGUUGAUCCAGGGGAUUGUAGAUAAGAGCACUGUAAAUCACUUUGGAUAAAAGCUUCAUGACAUUUUUUGAUGAUGCUUUUGAAGCUUCUGAAAGUCAGCCUUCAUUGUAUGAACAGAAACCAGCAGAACAAACUUGACCAAUAUCACAUCGUCAGUGUCUUUUGGUCUUUCUCUAGAUGCUCUCGCUAGCACAGCAGCAUCUGGUCCAGAUGAGGCAGUAAGGGCAGGUGCAGUGAUGGAGCGACUCAUUCGUGGCACUGGACCAUUUCCAGGAUGCUGCUGUGGACUCUCCAUCCUCAGCGCUCACAGCAGUCUGCAGACAUUUCAGAUCAUACAAAAACGCCCAAACAUAAUACAAAAGCAGUCAUUUUAACAGCACAAUGUCACCUGAUCUCUGUAUUAGAAGUAACAAAAUGAUCUUAUUUUAUCCUUUUUUUUAAGGUUUUCCCUUUUUUUCCACAAAUGUCACUGUCACCUUGCCUUGCAGGUCCUGCUCCACCACAGAAGAUCUGCAGCAAACCCACAGGAAUCAAGAAUAAGAAAAGUGCUGUAAUAGUUGUUUGAAAUUACAAUAAUUAAAAUAAACUACAACUUAAGAUUUAAAA